GCUGGCGGGCGGGCCUGUGGGGCCGAGCCGGGGGCGCGAGCGCGGGGUCCCGGGGCCCACAGCAAGGAAGAACUGAGGAAAAAGGGGGGAAAAACACUCUCGAGUGCCUUCGCGAGCCUUGGCCGGCGUGUCCGGGCGCCCCGAGGACCCACCCGAGGACGCAGGCGUCGCGGGCUGAAGAGAAGCCGGGAGCUUCCCCGGGGCGCCUUCUGGGCUUCCGGCGCGGCGCGAGGCCUCGCUCACCGGCCACCGCCGCCCCUGUGGGGAGGGACCCCCGCCCCCCAAGUGAGGACAGUGAGGAGGAGCCCCAGGAGGAACUCGAACCCAAGGCUGCCGUCGAGAGACCCCUCCUCCCCCGCGGGCCUCGUGGGCUUCCCGGUGCGGGCCGCCGCGCCCGCGUCACCCGAAGGCGGGAAGGAGACGCACGACGGUCGCCCCCGUGCACGUCCACCCUCCCGGUCCCCACUCCCACCCGCCGCCUGCGGAAGACUUCUCAGGUCCGCGGGCACCGGAAACGCGCGCCGGCUGCCGACUGCGCGGAGGGGGCGCCCGCACACCCUCGCGCGCGCGCGGCCCCCACCGGGGGACCCGCGCGGGGGCCGGAGUCACGAGGCCGCCCGCAGAGCCGUCGCGUGCGGGCCUGGCGACAGCCCAGCAGGUGGUGUGACCUUACUCAGCGAGGCCUCCGCGGCCACGGAGAUGUAGUAUACCGGGGCCCCACCCUUGCGAGCGGGCUGCCCGUAGAUCCACUUUCCCAAUUUGACGCCGCUGUCCGCUCGUUCUUGGAGAGCACAGCUUUGGACAGAAACCCCAAAAGGCAGGAGCAAAUUUGUUUGAAAAUCUUGGCUGUGGCGUGCAAACAAGUUCAGAGGGAUUUUUGAGGCACAGCUACAGACUGAGCUGGUUUACUGCACAUUAUAAAUGGAAACUUUUUUUUUUCCUCCGUGUUUUUAAGAAAUCCUGUUGCAAGGUCAUUAAUCACAUUAUCCAUUAUACCAGAAACAAAUGGAUUUGUCACUUGUGCACAGAAGCUGAGGUUGAUGCUGAAAACAAAUUGUAUCAAAAUAAAUGAAAUUAUUAUGAUAAUAUAAAACAGACUGCAGUGAUUAAUCUCCAGAAACCAAAUUUUGACCUGCUUUGCACUUCAAACAAUAGCUUCUGUUAUGUAAAUAGUCGUGGGGUUUUCAAGGACAAUGUUACUAAAUUACGAGGAAAGUUCUAUUCGUGGAAAUCUCUUCAUGGAUAAACAUUAGAGCCAGAAAAUCUGUUCUCCACAACACCCAAAGCAGAGGACAAUGGAAGUGAUGAUGGCUCAGGAAUCACUUUGACUCCCUGACUGCUUAGUUGGCUUUCUUUGAGAUUCCCUCCAGAUCUCUGGCCUUCCCGCUCCCGCCCCGGGUUCCUGCAUCCAGAAUGGCACCAAGCUCUUCUGUAAAGGGAUUCAGGAAUUCAGGAUCACGCGAUGGAAGGAAUGCAGAUUGGACCCCACCCUCUUCUCUGCAGUCCUGACCCUGACCGCAGCCACUGGCGUCAGCCUUGCGCUGGCUGCCCCAGGCCCUGAGCUUUCUCUCCCCCAGCCUGUUGAAGAGCUCCUUCCCUGCCUGGGGGGAGGUGGGGCUCACGUGCUGGGAGCCAGGAUUAAUUGGGUGCCCUGGAUUUCAGUUCUGUUGGUGGUGGCGUAUCUCAGCAAGGGUCCUUGGAAAUAGCUCUCCCAGGACGCACACCCUCCUCGGAUGAAGAAUGCCCCUGGCCUCUCUGCUCUGACCGGCACUUCCUUCCCGAGGUUCACCUGGGGGUUUUCUCAAGUGUGGCACACGCCCUCCAGGAGUGGGGAGCAGCCCCCUCCUCCACCUAAGGCAGAAUCUACUAAAAAGUGAAAGGGAGUCUUCUGCUGUUCUCUGAGGCAGAAAGUCUACGUGGGGCUGAGUCCUCCCCAGACUUGUGCUGUCCUUUCUGCCAGAGGAGCCGGACUAAAACGCAGGAACUCAAGGCUGCUCACGGGAAACCAGGAAGUCCUCACUCCUGGGUGUCAGGAGGACAGACAGACACUCACGCCCUGUAACGGACUCUACCUAAGGAUUUAUGAUGAGGACCAGACAGGUCAGUUACAGCAUGCCAAGGAAUCCCUGUGAAGACGAGAACAAGUUCCUCCUUCCUUCCUUCCUUCCUUCCUUCCUUCCUUCCUUCCUUCCUUCCUUCCUUCCUCUCUCUUUUUCUUUCUUUUCUUUUCUUUCUUUCUUUCUUUCUUUCUUUCUUUCUUUCUUUCUUUCUUUCUUUCUUUCUUUCUUUCUCCCUCCCUCCUUCUUUUCUUCUUUUAUUUUUCUUUUCUUUCUCUCAUCAGUCCAUCAAGCCAUCCAGUCGUCCACAAUAGGAGCCUGUUGGUCAGGCCUUGUCACAGAUAGCACAGUGCUGAGUCCGCGGUGGGGGGUCAAUCAGUCCACGAAACUAAGAAACUGCCACAUGGGCUGGGCUUCAUGCCUGCCAGAGUCUCAUAGAUUCUCAGAUGCAUUCCCCUUCUUUCGUUGGCAUGAGUAAAGGUGUACAACCAGCCCCCCUACUCAGUAUUCUUCUGAUGGGGUAUCAGAGAAACUGUAUGAAAUAUAACUGAUGGGAGCAAACCAGAUGUAACAGAAUUUUCACUGCAAAAAUUCCACUUCUUCUAGCCACUGAUCUCCAAUUCGUGCCUCGGAUUUUGCAUGAUCUUUUGGGAACAGCCUUUGAGGUCUGACUGAGGCUGGAGCCAAAUAGAUCCUGAUGCUUUGGACACACGGAGGCCCUGAGGUAGGAGGACCCCAGGUGGUCCCCGCAGCCGGAGUUUCAUCAGCCCGGUGGUGAGGGCAAGGCCUUCACUAUUUGUCUCUGCUCAUUACUUCCACUGAAAUCACGAGUCUUCAGAGCCAGAGAUGUGGAUCAGCUGUUCUCCUGGGCUCCGCGUAUGCAUCUCAUUGUCUAAAGCCAGAACACAACGUACGAGAAAUGGGAAAGUGAAUGUCUGAGCGGUGCUUGUCAUUCACGAGGAUCAGGCAGCAGCUGCCCCUCAUUGGAGGCCCUGACGGUUCGGGGUGUUGAUGCCCGGUGCCGCUAUCAGUGGGCCCUCCAAAGGCUCUUCAGGAACAAUCCUGUAUCGUGUGAAUUAAUUACAGCAGGUAAAACCACCUGACCCUGCAUCCAGUGGUCCUGCCCUCGAGCAGGUGGAGGGGAGGAGCAGGCAAGAGACCGAAUUGUGUUCUCCACGUGCCCUGCUGUGUAGCAGCCCAGCCACAUCUGUCCCAGAGAGAACCACCUGAAAACCGGAACCCCCCGAAAACCAGAACCCCUUGACAGCCUAGGCGCCCCCUCAGAGAAUGCAGGAGCAACGCUUCCUUUGGUUUCUGUGGAGGCAGCCCACCAGGGCCAUUCCUGUCCAAGGACCGGGGAAGUGGCGUGGUUCAGAAAGCAAUUGUGCCCUGGCCUUCCUAAGCGCAUACACACAUAUGUCAUCCCAGCGGCUGCCGCUGUGUCCCGCUCACACGUCCUGUGCCAGGCACAGAGCUGACCUCAUCAUCUCAGUUAAUGCCCGCGACAGCCUUGUGGGGUAGAGACUGUUAUCCCGGCAUCGCGGACCAGGAAACAAGGCUCAGUCUGGCGACUUGCCUCGUGCCUGGUGGUCAUGGGAGCUGGACUUCAGCCCACGUUGUCUGCAUUUGGGGAGCUGCGUGUGCCUCUCACGGGAACAAACACUGGAAGGGAAUGUGCAAAAUAAAAAGGGUGGUGUGUCAACUCCUGCGCCCCCAUCCUUGCCCUGCAUCUGUGCCGUGCCCUCUGGACACUCCGGAACGUCCCAAGCGCACAGCGUGCUGAACCGUCAUCUCCCGACUUGAGCCUGGCCCCCAUGCCUGUGUCUUUUAACCAGAUUUUCUAAGCCACACAAGUACAUUGAAGGUAACCUUGUCUCUUGCCACCUGCUACACCCGACGGGAAAUCCUCUCUGCCUGACCCAGCAUUCCUCCCCUGAUGCCUGUACCACCCCCUCCUCGACCCCCUCCAUCUCACUGCCACAGCCUGCCAGAUGCAUUAGGUCCCAUGAACCCAUCUGCCUGCAGGCGUGCGUCUCCAUUUUCUGUUCCAUUGAGACGUCUCUCCUGAGGCCAUUACUGUCCAGCCUCAGUUUACCCCUAAAGCCUCAUUUGCUGCCACCACCCCUCCCUGCACACAACCAGUCCCUGUACCCUCUUGUUUUACUUCUGUUCCCCAAACAUACCACGGCCUUUCAUGGCUUGGUGCCCACAUACCUCCAGGGAUACUCAGUGCUUCUCAAGUUCCUCUCUGCCCGGGUGCUCCACAACUCACCCCGCCGAGCGUCUCCCUCCUGCCCCCCUCGGUCCUGUGCGCUCAAGGGCACGGGCUACCACCCAUCUCUGCUCGGCCAGCACUCAGCUCUGGGCUUGACUCCCAGGUGCAGCUCAGACAAUGAGAGCUGGACAAAUAAACCAGGGGCAAGAGGGAAGAGCCUGUGGGCGCUGCCUGGGCCAGGACCUAUGUGAACUUGAACCGGCUCCUGGCAGUAACAGAGGAUGGAUGCAUGAACAGCCUGGGGCCCACAGUUAACUAACAGCCUUCUCUUCAUCCACACCUCGUGGAAGCAGAGUUGAUGUACCCUCUGGGUUGGGGGAGAUGGGGUUGAGCACCUCAUCAAACACUCUGGGUGCCUGAGUCUCUCCACCUGGGUGAGUUGGCCUACCACCAUGACUGCCCGGGGCCCGGUGCCGUCAGCUCCUAGGGCACCCAGGCAGAGGCACCCACCUUCCCCUCCUCCCACCUGCCAAAGGGCUCCUGUGCCUGAGUCAACUAGGCAACAACAAGCCCUGAUGUGGGCUCCGUUUCUGACUGUGCGCAAGUUUGCAGGGAUCACGAAAAAUGUCCUCCAGAAGACCAUCGAGAACACCAAAUCCUUUGAGAGCCUCUUCAUCUAGCUGUUUCCUUCCCUGAGAGGCUAGAAAUGCACCCAUGCAUCCAGUCCGAGGCUCUGCUGCUUCCGUGAAUAUGCAAAGCUGUUUGUUCAGUCCUGUGAACGUGGAAAAGAAGCCACCAGCAACACUGGGGACUCCGCCGGCUGCCUGCCAGCGUCCCCCGCCCAAGCACAUAACAGGGCCAGACUCCCGUGAAACAUCGGGCUUCCGUGAGCUGUCCACCUGUGCAUGCGACGAACUCUGGCCCUCUAAACAGGGUGAUCCCGUCCCUGCUGCCACGGGUGACUGUUUCAGGUGACCCAGGGCUCAGCCAGUCAGCCCACAGCAUUCCUGACACCGCCUCAGGGACGGACCUGUGUUCCAGUUUGGGGGAAUGACACGUAAGGAAAAUUUGCUAGGAACCUCCUAGGAAAAAAACACACCUUUGCUUUUCUGAUUUUACCAUAUCUCAAAAGGAAAGUGUGGUAGUGGUUGCUCCAGGUUGAAACUCUGGAGGCCCUUUUGCCACCGCGAGGGAGGCUGCUUGAUGACGAAGCUGCCACCCUGGAAGGCAGAGCCUGAAGGAAAACCGGGUGCUUGAUGGCUUUAUUGAGCUGCUGAAUCAAACCAACCCUGCAAUCCACCUCAUCGUUGAACCUUCCCAUUCUGUGAGCCAGUCGGGCCCCUUUGGUGGUGGAGCUAGUAGGAGAGGAGUUUUCUUUUUCGGGCAACCCUGACAGCCUCGCUCCAGCCUGGAAAACGGCUUCCCGCAGAGCUGGGAGCUCUUCACCUGCAUCAGCCGAGCCUCAGUCUCUCUGUCAGUGAAAGUGCUAGUUCACCAAACUCGCAGUGGACCGGGAGAGUAAACGUGGUUGUUGCAGAGUUCCCAGCACAUAAAAGGUGCUCAAUAAGUGAUGUUUUCUCCCCUUGCCUUAGGCCACUUCAAGAGUCGAUACUCCAGGAUUUCAUUAUAAAAUGGCGGUCGUAACAUUUGCCUUCCUCUCCUGAAGCGGCUGCUUUUAGGGUCAAAUAAAAGAGAUGUGAAAAAACUGA